rnacentral:rRNA from 1 species
UACAGAGGUCCCAAGCGUUGUUCGGAUGCAUUGGGCGUAAAGGGUGCGUAGGUGGUGCUGUAAGUCAGGUGUGAAAUCUCGGGGCUCAACCCCGAAACUGCAUUCGAUACUGCGGUGCUUGAGGACUGGAGAGGAGACUGGAAUUCAUGGUGUAGCAGUGAAAUGCGUAGAGAUCAUGAGGAAGACCAGUGGCGAAGGCGGGUCUCUGGACAGUUCCUGACACUGAGGCACGAAGGCCAGGGGAGCAAACGGG